CAGCCGCCACGGUAAUACGAGGGGUGCAAGCGUUAUUCGGAUUGAUUGGGUGUAAAGGGUGUGCAGACGGCUUAUUAAGUCACUUGUUAAAUUCUUCGGCCUAACUGAAGGUCUGCAAGUGAUACUGAUGAGCUAGAGGGUGGAAGAGAGAAGUGGAAUUCUCGGAGUAGCGGUAAAAUGCGUAGAUCUCGAGAGGAACACCAAUGGCGAAGGCAGCUUCUUGGUCCAUUCCUGACGUUCAUACACGAAAGCGUGGGGAGCAAACAGGAUUAGAUACUCCAGUAGUCCCUGUCUCUUAUAC
rnacentral:rRNA from 1 species